GUCGAGCGAUCUUCUUCGGAAGAGAGCGGCGGACGGGUGAGUAACGCGUGGGUAACCUGCCCUGUACACACGGAUAACAUACCGAAAGGUAUGCUAAUACGGGAUAACAUAAGAAAGUCGCAUGGAUUUCUUAUCAAAGCUUUUGCGGUACAGGAUGGACCCGCGUCUGAUUAGCUAGUUGGUAAGGUAACGGCUUACCAAGGCGACGAUCAGUAGCCGACCUGAGAGGGUGAUCGGCCACAUUGGAACUGAGACACGGUCCAAACUCCUACGGGAGGCAGCAGUGGGGAAUAUUGCACAAUGGGCGAAAGCCUGAUGCAGCAACGCCGCGUGAGCGAUGAAGGCCUUCGGGUCGUAAAGCUCUGUCCUCAAGGAAGAUAAUGACGGUACUUGAGGAGGAAGCCCCGGCUAACUACGUGCCAGCAGCCGCGGUAAUACGUAGGGGGCUAGCGUUAUCCGGAAUUACUGGGCGUAAAGGGUGCGUAGGCGGUCUUUCAAGUCAGAAGUGAAAGGCUACGGCUCAACCGUAGUAAGCUUUUGAAACUGUAAGACUUGAGUGCAGGAGAGGAGAGUGGAAUUCCUAGUGUAGCGGUGAAAUGCGUAGAUAUUAGGAGGAACACCAGUUGCGAAGGCGGCUCUC
rnacentral:rRNA from 1 species